rnacentral:pre_miRNA from 1 species
ACAACAACAUUUGGACCAUCAGUCUACUGAGCAAUUUCACCCGCUCUGUGGAAGAACUUCCUUUUGUCGUAGUCC